rnacentral:rRNA from 1 species
GACGAACGCUGGCGGCGUGCCUAACACAUGCAAGUCGAACGGAAAGGCCCUGCUUUCGUGGGGUGCUCGAGUGGCGAACGGGUGAGUAACACGUGAGUAACCUGCCCUUGACUUUGGGAUAACUUCAGGAAACUGGGGAUACUACCGGAUAGGAGCUCCUGAUGCUUGGUGGGGGUUGGAACGUUUCGGCGGUAGGGGAUGGACUCGCGGCUUACCAGCUUGUUGGUGGGGUAGUGGCUUACCCAGGCUUUGACGGGUAGUCGGCCUGGGAGGGGGGCCGGCCACAUGAGGACUAAGGGACGGCCCAGACGCCAACGGGAGGCAACAGGGGGAAAUAUUGCACAAUGGUCGGGAGCCUGAUGCGGCGGCGCCGCGUGCGGAAUGACGGCCUUCGGGUUGUGAACCGCAUUCGCCUGAGACGAAGCGUGAGUGACGGUAAUGAGAAAAGAAGCACCGGCUAACUACGUG